rnacentral:lncRNA from 1 species
GUCGGCUGGACGGCUGCCGCUGACUGUAACAUGUAAAGCAGGCACUGAGCACCACCUGCCUGGCAGUCCAGGGCAUGGAGAGGCACAGACAGCACCCUGCUUGUGACUUCACUGGCCCAACUCAUCCUGGACCCCUUGAGCAAGACCAUGGCUGGAUUCCAGGAACUGGUGGAGUGGAAGUGGAUCCAGGAAAAUGGAGUUUCACCAUAUUGGCCAGUCUGAUCUCAAACUCCUGACCUCAGGUGAUCUGCCCACCUCGGCCUCCUAAAGUGCUGGGAUUACAAGCAUGCCGUGUGAAGGGAGGACUCAGAUGCACUCCCUGUGGUCUGGGCUCAACCAGCCAAAAGAGCAACAAAGACUCCAGAACCCACUCUACCUCCUCAAUCCCUUGGCCAUCUGUGGAGCCCCAGAGCCUGCGGCUGUGGCAAGGCCUGUUUCUGCGCUGGACCUGCUCACCUGAGCCUGCAGAAGCUGCAUGGGGGAAGAGUGUGGCAAAUAGUGACAGGAAGGGAGAAGACAGAAGCCUCUCAGCCAACUGCUUCAGCCGAGCCCCUAUUCUAAGCACUGGCUCCUUGGAUAGCAGCUGAGAUGUUCCUGAAACCUCUGCAGGCCCCUUAGGACCUUUACACCUUGGAUGAGGGUGCCUGCAACCCAGGUUAGCCAAAAGUACUGAG